rnacentral:lncRNA from 1 species
AAUUUAUUUGUUCCUGACUCUGCCAUUUGGGCUGGGCUUGGUGGAGACGACUCACCUCCACUCUGUGUGCCGUCAGCUGGGGCAGUCCUCCUGCUUGUCUCGCUGGGGACACUCGUGUGGCUGCUCUCCCUGUCCAUGGGUCUCAGGGUCACUCCCACUCCACGUGGCCUCCCACGUGGCCUCUCCAGCAGAGGUGGACCUUAGGACUUCUUAUCUGGAAAUUCAGGCCUCCCAAAAAGCUACAAGGCCCCCUAAGAACGAGGCCCAGAGGGGAGCGGGUGUAGGUCAGUGAUGGAGCAUUUGCUUCCCACAUACAAGGUCCUGGGUUCAAUCCCCAGUACCUCCUAAAAAAAAAAAAAAAAAGGAAUAAGGCCCAGAAACAAAUAACAGCAGUUCCUGUCUGACAGGGCCACACUGAGGGUGCAGUAACAAUGUAUGUGACAUAUCCCAGACCUGGCGACCACUAUUGUCACCGGGCCAUCAAGCUGCUAUAUCUAAAACACCAAUCACCACCACCACCACCCUCAGGUUCUACCACCUGUCCUCCCUGCCUUGUCCUCCCAACAGAGUGGGACCUGCUUCUCCAGGGUAAUCCACCCUCGCCUC